UACGCGCCCGCGGCUGACACGCUGCGAAAUCCCCGUCGCGGUCUCGCCCUCCACCCCCGUCGCCCGCCACAAGUCUUCCCCCACGGUGCUGACCGCCGCUGCCGCCCGUCGCUACCGCGCCCACGCCGAUGGUUUCUACCCCGCCGCCGGACGCGCCCACUCUCUCAUCCACCACCGGUCGCGCCCACGCCAGCCGCCGGCCGGGCCGGCGCUCCUGGCCGGCACCAGAUCUCACCGCCCCAACGCCGACCGCUGUUGCCGGACGCCACCGGCCACGCCCACGCCAAUGCCCGGCCGGCGUCGGAUCCUGCGUUCCCAACGUACAGUUACCACAAGCAAAGCACAACACAUCAGAUAUGUCUGUCGCUGCUUGAUAGGUCUAUUUCUUCGAUCUACCUCGCCGUCGCUGUGCCACCCCCGUGCCGUCACCAUGGCAGCCGUCGGCCUCGCCAUCACCCCCACCGCCGACGCCGCGCCAUCGCCCCCGCCGUCACCCUCGCCAUCCUUCGCCUCGCAAACGCUACGCCACCCCGCCGUCGUCCUCCGGCCAUCCCCACCAGCGCCCGGCCAUCCACACCAGUUGAAGAAGAAACUGGUAUUAAGCUAAACUUGGAGGACAUGGUUGAUCUUACUGCAGUACUGUACCCUGACACUGGAUGCAGGAUGCUUCCUUCACCUGUUUACUGAAUUUGGAGGAACCAUCCGUCAAAGACCAGUUGAAGAAAUAAACUGUGUAGCAUAGACUAAUUGAAGAUCUCGCAUUUGGUGUUGCUCGCUUCUUACAGAAGGAUGGUUCUUUUAUCAACUACUACAUGGUGUGACAGAUAAAGACUUGUGUUUAGCUUCCCAAAGGCUGACACUAAUUCUGGUUGUUUAAUUGAUUUUCAACUUUAAAAGUAUCAUGGAGGAACAAGUGGUUUUCAUGAUUUUGCAUUAAAGCAUGUUCUUUUAUUAUUAUUAAUGGAUCAAAUGGCCCUAUCAUUGAUUCUUCGAGGGCAGGGAUGUUACAAAGCUUAUAUGAAUGAUAACCCUAUUGGAUCAAAAGUUUGGUUAGAAUGACACUUUUUCUAUUUUGCUUACUUGCAUGCAAUUUACCAACAUUUAUAUAACAUGU